AACGAACGCUGGCGGCAGGCCUAACACAUACAAGUCGAACGCCCCGCAAGGGGAGUGGCGCACGGGUGAGUAACGCGUGGGAAUAUGCCCUUCGGUUCGGAAUAACACAGGGAAACUUGUGCUAAUACCGGAUACGAUCUACGGAUGAAAGAUUUAUCGCCGAGGGAGCAGCCCGCGUAGGAUUAGCUAGUUGGUGAGGUAAUGGCUCACCAAGGCGACGAUCCUUAGCUGGUCUGAGAGGAUGAUCAGCCACACUGGGACUGAGACACGGCCCAGACUCCUACGGGAGGCAGCAGUGGGGAAUAUUGGACAAUGGGCGAAAGCCUGAUCCAGCCAUGCCGCGUGAGUGAUGAAGGCCUUAGGGUUGUAAAGCUCUUUCGCCAGGGAAGAUAAUGACGGUACCGGCAUAAGAAGCACCGGCUAACUACGUGCCAGCCGCCGCGGUAA
rnacentral:rRNA from 1 species